GAUAUAAGAUUGUGGGUGUCCGGCUGGGGUACCAUCAAUACAGCAACUCGUGCCUUUUCCAAUAUCCUGCUAAAGGCCCCCUUGUUUGUAACACCCCUCGAGAAAUGCAAUGCCAGUUUUGUGGAUUAUGGUCUGACACGCCAGAUUCAAGAUGGUAUUAUUAGCACACAAUUGUGUGCCGAAGAUAAGGAUCAAUUGAAAGAUGCAUGUCAGGGUGAUUCAGGUGGUCCAUUGGUAUUAGUUGUGGAUGAAUCUUUAAAAAGUUAUAAAAUCGUUGGUGUGGUCUCAGCCGGUUUUGGUUGUGCCAACACCACACCUGGUCUCUAUACCAGAGUAGCUGCCUUUUUGGAUUAUAUCGAACAAAUUGUAUGGCCAAAUGGUGGUGA